rnacentral:misc_RNA from 1 species
ACCGAGGGAUUUUGUAUUUGCAAGAUCCAUUCCAUCAGCUUCACUUGCCCCGAGAAUGUUUCUUCCUUUCUCAACCAAAUGAAAAUAUUCUCAACAAAAUGUUUGUCCGAGUCAUUUAAUCCAGGUAAUACGUCACCCUGUGUUGAGCAAGAUGGUGCUUCGUCAGCAUUGGAAGGACCAGCAGGGUAUAUGGGACUCAGAUCAGGACCAACAGAGUUUAAAGGAACAGGAUCAGGAUG